rnacentral:tRNA from 2 species
GGGGGUGGAUGGCGCCUGGUGGCGCUCCUGGUCUUCAAAACCAGUCGCGGGGCAGCGCUCCUGUCCUGGGUGGGUUCGAUUCCCACGCACUCCCGCCA